rnacentral:tRNA from 1 species
GCCUGGUUGGCUCAGUCAGUACAGCAUGUGACCCUUGAUCUCGGGCUCCUGAGUCUGAGCCCCACGCUGCGC